UACGAAGGGGGCUAGCGUUGUUCGGAAUUACUGGGCGUAAAGCGCACGCAGGCGGAUUUAUAAGUCAGGGGUGAAAUCCCGGGGCUCAACCUCGGAAUUGCCUUUGAUACUGUCUAUCUUGCGUCCGGGAGAGGUGAGUGGAAUUCCUAGUGUAGAGGUGAAAUUCGUAGAUAUUAGGAAGAACACCAGUGGCGACGGCGGCUCACUGGCCCGGUACUGCCGCUCAUGUGCGAAAGCGUGGGGAGCAAACAGG
rnacentral:rRNA from 1 species